GAUGAACGCUGGCGGCGUGCCUAAUACAUGCAAGUCGAGCGAACGGACGAGAAGCUUGCUUCUCUGAUGUUAGCGGCGGACGGGUGAGUAACACGUGGAUAACCUACCUAUAAGACUGGGAUAACUUCGGGAAACCGUAGCUAAUACCGGAUAAUAUUUUGAACCGCAUGGUUCAAAAGUGAAAGACGGUCUUGCUGUCACUGAUAGAUGGAUCCGCGCUGCAUUAGCUAGUUGGUAAGGUAACGGCUUACCAAGGCAACGAUGCAUAGCCGACCUGAGAGAGUGACCGGCGACGCUGGAACUGAGACACGGGCCAGACUCCUACGGGAGGCAGCAGUAGGGAAUCUUCCGCAAUAGGCGAAAGCAUGACGGAGCAACGCCGCGUGAGUGAUGAAGGUCUUCGGAUCGUAAAACUCUGUUAUUAGGGAAGAACAUAUGUGUAAGUAACUGUGCACAUCUUGACGGUACCUAAUCAGAAAGCCACGGCUAACUACGUG
rnacentral:rRNA from 1 species